GACAGAGGAGCCAAGCGUUGUCCGGAUUUACUGGGCGUAAAGCGCACGCAGGCGGUCGCGCGCGUGGGGUGUGAAAACUGGCGGCUUAACUGCCAGAGGCCAUCCCAUACGGCGCAACUCGAGCCAUGCAGAGGUCCACGGAAUUGCCGGUGUAGUGGUGAAAUGCGUAGAUAUCGUAAGGAAGACCAGUGGCGAAGGCGGGUCUCUGGACAGUUCCUGACACUGAGACACGAAGGCCAGGGGAGCAAACGGG
rnacentral:rRNA from 1 species